rnacentral:lncRNA from 10 species
GCAGUAAAGAAGCCGACUAAAACCUACCAAAACCAAGAUGGCCAUGAAGAGUGACCUUUGGUCAUUCUCACUGCUACACUCUCACCAGUGCCAAGACAGUUUACAAAUGCCAUGGCAAUGACAGGAAGUUCCCCUAUAUGGUCUAAAAAGGGGAGGCAUGAAUAAUCCACUCCUUGUUUAGCAUAUCAUCAAGAAAUAACCAUAAAAAUGGGUAACCAGCAGCCCUUGUGGCUGCUCUGUCUAUGGAGUAGCCAUUCUUUUAUUCCUCUACUUUCUUAACAAACUUGCUUUUGCUUUGCACUGUGGACUCUCCCUGAAUUUUUUCUUGCCCAAGAUCCAAGAACCUUCUCUUGGGGUCUGGAUCAGGACCGCUUUCCUGUAACAUCUUUCUGGCAACCACAAAGGGAUGAUACUGAAGAGACCCCCUAAUCUCAACUGAAAAUCAUCUGCUUGCACCAAUUUUGGCUGACUUUGGAGCCCUGAGUCACCAUUUAAGAAGUCCGACUACCCUGCUGAAGAGAUCACAUGGAGGGGCUCUGAGACUACAGCCUGAGAGCUGUUCCCACCAAGGUGUCAGGCUUGUGACUGAAGCCAUCUUGGAUGUUCCAGACUGGCCCAGGUCAGCUGGGGCUCUGCUCUGCAUCUUCCUCCCUCUGGAACCCUAGCUGAGUGAGUGGUCACUAUCUGGAACAUUGCUGGCCAUUGUGACAGAGGGGGCACUGAGCUCUGGAGGGUUUCACACAGCAGGUCCUAAAACCUAGGAAGACUUUUCUGACCUUCCCCUGAAGCAGGCCUAAGACCCUCCUGUGAGAGACCAGGCUGGGCGAUACAGCGAGACCCUGCCUCGAAAACACCAUCACCACCACCACCACAAACAGCAGCAAAACCCCACCCAGGUUUAAUUACUUCUUCAGGGGUUCCAGACAAUGAACCUAAGAUAGAUAGAAGGAAAAGAUAAGUUGCCUCCCCUAUGAAGGCUAAGGCAACAUGUUGAGCCAAGAUACACCAGAUUCUAGAACCUGAGCAUUUAGCUUCAACCUCUUGGGGUUAUCUCCAGCCUCCAACUGGUGGGGGGUCAGCCCCUGAACCAAAGGUUUGUGUUUCCAAGAUUUCUGUCAAUGUACUGGUCACAGGGAUGGGCUCAGGCAGCUGUGGGUGGAGGAGAAGCAGAGAGGAGAGUGGGCAAUGGUGGCCCCAAAUGUGGUCCAGAAAUGGUUCCUGCUGGAGGUUACAGGAGAGGACAGGGUGAAUGGAUGAGUCAGACUACCAGUAUCACUUGGGGCUCAAAUAUAGCAUGUGAGAGUCCCUGCCUUUGCCACACUAGACAAGGGGGUUUGGCUCAAAAUAGCACAGAGGGGGGUUCUGUAGCAGUGAGAGAAAUCUAGCAUAGUUGACUCCAUCUUGCUUCUAACCCCCAAGCAAACUGCCUUUGCUCAUUCCUGCAUGUAGGCCCAGCUAACUAUGGGAGGAAUUUAGUGUAUAGCUUAACUUUAAAGCAAGGAUGAUAAUAGGGCCUUCCCCAAACUAACCCCUGAGGAGAUAAGAAGGGCAUACACCCAAGAACAAUGUUAUGCUAAAGACUUGUAGGAGUGCUGUGACCUGAACAAAGAAAAAGAAGUUAUGAAACUCCCUCAGACUCUUGCUGACACCCAGAUGUCUGUGGUCACCUGUCACCUCCUGACCUUAACCCCCUCCUUGUUCCCUUUACCCAAUAUAAAAAGAAGCUUGAGAUUCAUACCUUUGAAGAUGGUCCUUUAGGACACCAGUCUGCCAUCUUCUCAGUUUGCUGGCUUCCUGAAAUAAAGUCACUUUCCUUUAUUUGGAAAGAAUAGUUGAGUAUGUCUUGUCUUAUUGGCUGUUGUGAGACGAGUGGUAUGAGCUUUGGAUUUGGCUACGGUUCCAGAAUGAACUCUGGUGUUGGGCAGAGCUGGCUCACUUACCAGAUCUGGUGCAAAGCCCUUAAUCCGAGCCUUAGUUUCCUCUGUAAAGUAGGGAUGAUAAUAAUAUACAUCUUGUAGGAUUAUUGUGAGGAUUAAAUGAAAUAAUGUGGUAAAGCAUUUAGCACAGCACCUGAUACACAUGAAGUGUUCCAUAAAUGGUGUCUAGAAUAACGUAGUAGCAAUCAUAAAAUAAAAACAACCACAAAAACCAGCUACUAAUGGUUUCCUGAUCUCUCUCACACAGUAAAUAAAUCCUUGUGUGAAA